GGACCCGCACAAGCGGUGGAGUAUGUGGCUUAAUUCGAUGCAACGCGAAGAACCUUACCUAGGCUUGACAUGCUUGUCGUACUCUCCCGAAAAGGAGAGGUCACUUCGGGUGGACAAUGCACAGGUGCUGCAUGGCCGUCGUCAGCUCGUGUCGUGAGAUGUUUGGUUAAGUCCAGCAACGAGCGCAACCCCUGUGAACUGUUGCCAGCGCGUAAAGGCGGGGACUCUGUUCAGACUGCCCAGAUCAACUGGGAGGAAGGUGGGGACGACGUCAGGUCAGUAUGGCCCUUACGCCUAGGGCUGCACACGUACUACAAUGCCCAGCACAAUGAGAACCGAGACCGCAAGGUGGAGGAAAUCUGCAAAACUGGGCCCAGUUCGGAUUGGAGGCUGCAACUCGCCUCCAUGAAGUCGGAAUCGCUAG
rnacentral:rRNA from 1 species